rnacentral:rRNA from 1 species
AGCAGUAGCCGCGGUAAUACGUAGGUGGCAAGCGUUGUCCGGAAUUAUUGGGCGUAAAGGGCUCGCAGGCGGUUUCUUAAGUCUGAUGUGAAAGCCCCCGGCUCAACCGGGGAGGGUCAUUGGAAACUGGGAAACUUGAGUGCAGAGGAGGAGAGUGGAAUUCCGCGUGUAGCGGUGAAAUGCGUAGAGAUGUGGAGGAACACCAGUGGCGAAGGCGACUCUCUGGUCUGCAACUGACGCUGAGGAGCGAAAGCGUGGGGAGCGAACAGGAUUAGAUACCCGGGUAGUCCCUGUCUCUUAUAC